rnacentral:rRNA from 1 species
AGUGAACGCUGGCGGCAGGCCUAAUACAUGCAAGUCGAACGGCAGCACGGCAGAGCUUGCUCUGUGGGUGGCGAGUGGCGGACGGGUGAGGAAUACAUGGGAAUCUGCCCAGUCGUGGGGGAUAACGUAGGGAAACUUACGCUAAUACCGCAUGCGCCCUUCGGGGGAAAGCCGGGGACCUUCGGGCCUGGCGCGAUUGGAUGAGCCCAUGUCGGAUUAGCUAGUUGGCGGGGUAAUGGCCCACCAAGGCGACGAUCCGUAGCUGGUCUGAGAGGAUGAUCAGCCACACUGGAACUGAGACACGGUCCAGACUCCUACGGGAGGCAGCAGUAGGGAAUAUUGGACAAUGGGCGCAAGCCUGAUCCAGCCAUGCCGCGUGAGUGAAGAAGGCCCUCGGGUUGCAAAGCUCUUUUGUCCGGAAAGAAAAGCGCCGGGUUAAUACCCUGGUGUCCUGACGGUACCGGAAGAAUAAGCACCGGCUAACUUCGUGCCAGC